CCUACGGGAGGCAGCAGUGAGGAAUAUUGGUCAAUGGGCGCGAGCCUGAACCAGCCAAGUAGCGUGAAGGAUGACUGCCCUACGGGUUGUAAACUUCUUUUAUAAAGGAAUAAAGUGAGGCACGUGUGCCUUUUUGUAUGUACUUUAUGAAUAAGGAUCGGCUAACUCCGUGCCAGCAGCCGCGGUAAUACGGAGGAUCCGAGCGUUAUCCGGAUUUAUUGGGUUUAAAGGGAGCGUAGUAGGGUUGUUAAGUCAGUUGUGAAAGUUUGCGGCUCAACCGUAAAAUUGCAAUUGAUACUGGCAGCUUUGAGUACAGUUGAGGUAGGAGAAAUUCGUGGUGUAGCGGGGAAAUGCUGAGAUAUCACGAAGAACUCCGAUUGCGAAGGCAGCCUAAUAAACUGCAACUGACAUUGAUGCUCGAAAGUGUGGGUAUCAAACAGGAUUAGAUACCCCGGUAGUC
rnacentral:rRNA from 1 species